AUUGAACGCUGGCGGCAGGCCUAACACAUGCAAGUCGAGCGGAUGAAGGGAGCUUGCUCCUGGAUUCAGCGGCGGACGGGUGAGUAAUGCCUAGGAAUCUGCCUGGUAGUGGGGGAUAACGUCCGGAAACGGGCGCUAAUACCGCAUACGUCCUGAGGGAGAAAGUGGGGGAUCUUCGGACCUCACGCUAUCAGAUGAGCCUAGGUCGGAUUAGCUAGUUGGUGGGGUAAAGGCCUACCAAGGCGACGAUCCGUAACUGGUCUGAGAGGAUGAUCAGUCACACUGUAACUGAGACACGGUCCAGACACCGGCGGGAGGAAGCAGUGGGGAAUAUUGGACAAUGGGCGAAAGCCUGAUCCAGCCAUGCCGCGUGUGUGAAGAAGGUCUUCGGAUUGGAAAGCACUUUAAGUUGGGAGGAAGGGCAGUAAGUUAAUACCUUGCUGUUUUGACGUUACCAACAGAAUAAGCACCGGCUAACUUCGUG
rnacentral:rRNA from 1 species